UUAAUUAGUAUUAGUUAAGUUCUUUAAAUUUAAAAGAUUUGGUAGUAUUAUAUCUAUUUAGAGGAACCUGUUUAAUAAUUGAUAAUCCACGAUUAAUUCUACUUAUUGUAAGUUUGUAUAUCGUUGUAGUUGAAUUUUUUAAUAGAAUAAAAAUUUUCAAAAUAUUGAAUUUAAUAUAAAAUCAAAUCAUGAUGCAGUUUUAAUAAGAAUAUAUGGGUUACAUUAAUUAAUAAUUAUAAAUUAAUAUUUGAAAAUUAUUAUGAAAUUGGAUUUAAAAGUAAUUUUAUUAAUUUUAAUAAAAUGAUAAAGGAAUAUAAUAUGCACACAUCGCCCGUC
rnacentral:rRNA from 1 species